AUCCUACCAGGGAAAGAUAAUAUGCAAAUAAUUGGAUCUAUACAAGAUAUAUACAGAAUAAAUGGAAUGUAAUCUGAAAGGAGGAAGGCAGUAGCAGCCAUAAGAACCAGGAAAGGUCUCCUGCUAAAAGGUGGGAUUUGAGUUGAAACCAUAAGGAAACCAGGGAAAUAAGAGAUCAAUUUGACCAGGGCAAUGCAAGACAGCUAGUCAUUUAAACACUGUAAGUGAAGACUGAUGCCACUGCAAACCAUGUUUGAUGUUCAUAUAUGGUUUCCUGGCGUGCUGCAUUCAGACCCAUCUGUUAGGAUGGCAUGGUGCCGACAUGCAAGAAGGACUUCUCAGUGUGGGAAUUCUCUCGUCCUGUGCAGACCAUUACCAGCUUUGCAACUUGGAGCAGUAGAGGCUAAGUGACUA